GAUGAACGCUGGCGGUAUGCCUAACACAUGCAAGUCGUACGAGAGUUUUUAACUCUAGUGGCGGACGGGUGAGUAACACGUGAGAAUUUACCUUUAGGAGGGGGAUAACAAUUGGAAACGAAUGCUAAUACCCCAUAUGCUUUUGAGUGAAAUGGAUUUAUAUUUAUCCGCCUAGAGAGAAGCUCGCGGCUGAUUAGCUUGUUGGUAAGGUAAGAGCUUACCAAGGCGACGAUCAGUAUCUGGUUUGAGAGGACGAUCAGACACACUGGAACUGAGACACGGUCCAGACUCCUACGGGAGGCAGCAGCGGGGAAUUUUCCGCAAUGGGCGAAAGCCUGACGGAGCAAUACCGCGUGAGGGAAGACUGCCUAUGGGUUGUAAACCUCUUUUUUCAGGGAGGAAUAAAA
rnacentral:rRNA from 1 species